rnacentral:rRNA from 1 species
UACAGAGGGGGCAAGCGUUGUUCGGAAUUACUGGGCGUAAAGGGCGCGUAGGCGGCCUUCUAAGUCGAACGUGAAAUCCCUGGGCUCAACCCCGGAACGGCAUCCGAGACGGCCAGGCUGGAGACCGGGAGAGGAGAGUGGAAUAGCCAGUGUAGAGGUGAAAUUCGUAGAUAUUGGCUGGAACACCGGUGGCGAAAGCGGCUCUCUGGCCCGGUUCUGACGCUGAGGCGCGAAAGCGUGGGGAGCAAACAGG